UACGUAGGGUGCAAGCGUUUAAUCGGAAUUACUGGGCGUAAAGCGUGCGUAGGCGGUUGCGCAAGACAGGUGUGAAAUCCCCGGGCUUAACCUGGGAAUUGCACUUGUGACUGUGCGGCUGGAGUGCGGCAGAGGGGGGAUGGAAUUCCGCGUGUAGCAGUGAAAUGCGUAGAUAUGCGGAGGAACACCGAUGGCGAAGGCAGUCCCCUGGGCCUGCACUGACGCUCAUGCACGAAAGCGUGGGGAGCAAACAGG
rnacentral:rRNA from 1 species